GUGCGUAGGCGGCUUUUUAAGUUUGGUGUGAAAUCUCCCGGCUCAACUGGGAGGGUGCGCCGAAUACUGAGAGGCUAGAGUGUGGGAGAGGAAAGUGGAAUUCCUGGUGUAGCGGUGAAAUGCGUAGAUAUCAGGAGGAACACCGGUGGUGUAAACGGCUUUCUGGACCAUAACUGACGCUGAGGCACGAAAGCGUGGGUAGCAAACAGGAUUAGAUACCCUGGUAGUCCACGCCCUAAACGAUGCAUAUUUGGUGUGGGCCAUUCAUUUGGUCUGUGCCGGAGCUAACGCGUUAAAUAUGCCGCCUGGGGAGUACAGUCGCAAGGCUGAAACUCAAAGGAAUUGACGGGGGCCCGCACAAGCGGUGGAGCAUGUGGUUUAAUUCGACGCAACGCGAAGAACCUUACCUGGGCUCGAAAUGCUAUGGACCAGCUGGUGAAAGCCGGCCUUCCCGCAAGGGACUGUAGUAUAGGUGCUGCAUGGCUGUCGUCAGCUCGUGUCGUGAGAUGUUGGGUUAAGUCCCGCAACGAGCGCAACCCUUGUCCUGUGUU
rnacentral:rRNA from 1 species